rnacentral:rRNA from 1 species
UUACAAGCUGUGGAACAUCUUUAUAUGAUGAACCGCGUACUUUUUGUAGAACGGUCCGGCGAGUUGCGUUCUCUGGCGAGGUUAAGUCCUUAAGGGACGGAGCCGAAGGGAAACCAAGUCUGAACAGGGCGUCAAGUCAGAGGGAGCAGACCCGAAACCGGGUGACCUAUCCAUGUCCAGGUUGAAGUUGCCGUAAAAGGUAAUGGAGGACCGAACCCACAUCCGUUGAAAAGGGUGGGGAUGAGGUGUGGAUAGGGGAGAAAUUCCAAUCGAACCCGGAGAUAGCUGGUUCUCCUCGAAAUAGCUUUAGGGCUAGCCUCAUACAAGUCUUGCGGAGGUAGAGCACUGAAUUUCCUAGGGGGCGUCAAAGCUUACCGAAGAAUAUCAAACUCCGAAUGCCGCGUAGAUGGUGUAUGGGAGUCAGACUACACGAGAUAAGUUGGGUGGUCGAAAGGGAAAGAGCCCAGACCCGCGGCUAAGGCCCCAAAAUGUGUGUUAAGUGGAAAAGGAUGUGGGAUUUCGAAGACAACUAGGAUGUUGGCUUAGAAGCAGCCAUACAUUCAAAGAGUGCGUAAUAGCUCACUAGUCGAGAGGUCCCGCGCCGAAAAUGUCCGGGGCUGAAACACACUGCCGAAGCUCGGGAAUGUACGAAGUACAUUGGUAGAGGAGCAUUGUUAACUGGACGAAGCGUCACCGGUAAGGAGGCGUGGACGGUUAAGAAGAGAGAAUGCCGGAAUGAGUAGCGAGAGGAAGGUGAGAAUCCUUCCGGCCGAAUAUCCAAGGUUUCCAGAGUAAAGCUGAUCUGCUCUGGGUAAGUCGGGGCCUAAGGCGAGGCCGAGAGGCGUAGUCGAUGGACAACAGGUGGAGAUUCCUGUACCACAACAUAACAGAACUGUGGGGACACGUGUGGAGAGCAUGAGCCGGGAAUGGGAAGACCGGUGCAAGCGAGGUAGGAGAGGAGUUGGCAAAUCCGCUCGUCAAUCCGAAGACGUGACGCGGACCGAAUUAAGAGUAGGGAAGCAUGUGAGCCACGCGUCAAGAAAAGCCGCUAUUGUUUAUGUUGUGCCCGUACCGUAAACCGACACAGGUGGAUGAGGAGAGAAUCCUAAGGCCGACGGGAGAAGCAUUGUUAAGGAACUCGGCAAAAUGACUCCGUAACUUCGGGAGAAGGAGUGCCUGGGAGACCAGGCCGCAGAGAAUUGGCCCAAGCAACUGUUUAGCAAAAACACAGGUCUAUGCAAAACCGAAAGGUGAGGUAUAUGGGCUGACGCCUGCCCGGUGCUGGAAGGUUAAGGGGAGAGGUUAGCGCAAGCGAAGCUUUGAACUUAAGCCCCAGUAAACGGCGGCCGUAACUAUAACGGUCCUAAGGUAGCGAAAUUCCUUGUCGGGUAAGUUCCGACCCGCACGAAAGGCGUAAUGAUUUGGGCACUGUCUCAACAAUGCACCCGGUGAAAUUGAAGUACCAGUGAAGAUGCUGGUUACCUGCGCCAGGACGGAAAGACCCCAUGGAGCUUUACUCCAGCUUGAUACUGGGAUUCGGUAUUGCAUGUACAGGAUAGGUGGGAGGCUAAGAAGAGAUGACGCCAGUUGUCUUGGAGCCGCUGUUGGGAUACCACCCUUGCAGUACUGGGUUUCUAACCAGCGGCCGUGAACCGGCCGGGGGACAAUGUCAGGUGGGGAGUUUGACUGGGGCGGUCGCCUCCGAAAGGGUAUCGGAGGCGCUCAAAGGUUCCCUCAGAAUGGUUGGAAACCAUUCGAAGAGUGCAAAGGCAGAAGGGAGCUUGACUGCGACACCGACGGGUGGAGCAGGUACGAAAGUAGGACUUAGUGAUCCGGUGGUAUAAAGUGGGAUUGCCAUCGCUCAACGGAUAAAAGCUACCCUGGGGAUAACAGGCUUAUCACUCCCAAGAGUUCACAUCGACGGAGUGGUUUGGCACCUCGAUGUCGGCUCAUCGCAU